UACGUAGGGUGCGAGCGUUGUCCGGAAUUAUUGGGUUUAAAGGGUGCGUAGGCGGCUUUAUAAGUCAGUGCUGAAAUAUCCCGGCUUAACCGGGAGGGUGGCAUUGAUACUGCAGAGCUUGAGUGAAGUCGAGGUAGGCGGAAUUGACGGUGUAGCGGUGAAAUGCUUAGAUAUCGUCAAGAACACCGAUAGUGAAGACAGCUUACUAGACUUCAACUGACGCUGAGGCACGAAAGUGUGGGGAUCAAACAGG
rnacentral:rRNA from 1 species